rnacentral:rRNA from 1 species
UACGGAGGGGGCUAGCGUUGUUCGGAAUUACUGGGCGUAAAGCGCGCGUAGGCGGCUUUGUAAGUUAGAGGUGAAAGCCUGGGGCUCAACCCCAGAAUUGCCUUUAAGACUGCAUCGCUUGAAUCCAGGAGAGGUGAGUGGAAUUCCGAGUGUAGAGGUGAAAUUCGUAGAUAUUCGGAAGAACACCAGUGGCGAAGGCGGCUCACUGGACUGGUAUUGACGCUAAGGUGCGAAAGCGUGGGGAGCAAACAGG